GAUGAACGCUGGCGGCGUGCUUAACACAUGCAAGUCGAACGAAAAACCACUCCCGGAGAUUGACACAGCUUGCUGUAGAUUGAAUCAUUUGAGGAGACUGCGUGGCGGACGGGUGAGUAACGCGUAAGUAAGCUGCCUUAUAGAGGAUGACAACAGUUGGCAACGACUGCUAAUACCGCAUAGUCAGACGAUUUGGCAUGUUUUCUUCUUGAAAGAUUUAUUGCUGUGAGAUGGAUCCGCGUCUGAUUAGCUAGUUGGUAAGGUAACGGCUUACCAGGGCGAGGAUCAGUAGCCGGCGUGUGAGAGUGAACGGCCACAUUGAGACUGGGACACGGCCCAAACUCCUGCAGGAGGCAGCAAAUGGUGAUAUUGCACAAUAGGGGAAAUGCAGAAGCAGCGACGCCGCGAGAGUGAAGAAGUAGUUCUAGAUGUAUAGCACUAUCAGCAGGGAAGAUAAUGACGGUACCUGAAGAAGAAGCCCCGGCUAACUACGUG
rnacentral:rRNA from 1 species